GACAGAGGGUGCAAACGUUGCUCGGAAUCACUGGGCGUAAAGGGCGUGUAGGCGGGACGGUAAGUCGGGCGUGAAAUCCCACCGCUCAACGGUGGAAGUGCACCCGAAACUGCAUAGCUAGAGUCCUGGAGAGGAAGGUGGAAUGCUUGGUGUAGAGGUGAAAUUCGUAGAUAUCAAGCGGAACACCGGUGGCGAAGGCGGCCUUCUGGACAGUGACUGACGCUGAGACGCGAAAGCGUGGGGAGCAAACAGGG
rnacentral:rRNA from 1 species